UACAGAGGUCCCAAGCGUUGUUCGGAUUCACUGGGCGUAAAGGGUGCGCAGGCGGUUGUGUGUGUCAGGUGUGAAAGCCCGGGGCUUAACCCCGGAAUUGCGCCUGAAACUACAUGACUAGAGCAUUGGAGAGGGUAGCGGAAUUCACGGUGUAGCAGUGAAAUGCGUAGAUAUCGUGAGGAACACCAGAGGCGAAGGCGGCUACCUGGACAAUUGCUGACGCUCAGGCACGAAAGCGUGGGGAGCAAAAGGG
rnacentral:rRNA from 1 species